UUUCAGAUUGCCCAACUUCUAUAAAUAUUUAAAUAUUUACAUCACGUGUGAGGUUCUUCUUUGUAGUAUUGCGUACUUCAGCGUCCUGAGGUACUGAGGGACUGCUGUUGUUAUUUUGCUGUGGGAAGCAGGCCUCGAAAUCCCCAUCAGCAGUCCUGACUGAUCAAACUAACAGUUGAAACACACUGCUGACUGUGUAACACCUACGCACACACACACACAAUACUCUCUAAAAACACAGACCACAGUGAGCAUUCAGUUUUACACUGCAGAUGCAGACAAACACUUGAAGAAGUCCUUUUCAAAAACCACAUGCUUAAAUAUCUUCAAAUUAAAAACAGUAAAAACCGUCACAAAUUGUGUUCUGGUCCUAUUCUGUUUGUCCUUCCUCUGAGAGCUCAAAAGUCUCUCUCCAUGAUUUACACUCAAAAGCUAUAAUUGGAGUCUUUGAAAACCCUCUGGCUAAAAAAGUUUAUUUCAUCCCAAGUUUCUUCAGACACUCCAGAGACCUCCAGAACCUAGCAUUCAAAAACCCAAUAUUCAAAAAACCUAGCACAACAGGAGCCAACAUUCCAGAAUCCAUCAGUCCAGAAUUCAGCAUUCCAGAACCUGGCAUUCCAGGACCAGCAUUCUAAAACCUAGCACUCAGAACCCAGCAUUCCAGAACCAGGAAUUUUAGAACCCAGCACUCCUGGUAAUCACUGCAGAACCCAGCAUUCCAGAACAUUCAAGAUGUAGCAUUCUAGAACUCAAAAAUUUAGAAUAAAUCAUUGGACAACACAGCACUCUUGAAUCGUUUGCCACUGUUGCCAUAAAACAUAGUGACUGACAUUCAGUCUAUGUCUUUGUAAAAUGCCAAAUGAUGAAAUAUGGUUGUCUAUAUUUUGGACCCAAAAUCUGACCUGCAAAGUUCGAGAGAGCACAAAAAAGUUUCUUCAGGUACUCCAGAUACUUCCAGAACCCAGUUUUCAAAAGCCUAGCACAACAGGACCCAGCAUUCCAUCAUCCAUUUCUCCAGAACCUGGCCUUUCCUGAACCAGUUAUUUAAGAAUCUAUCACUCCACAACUCAGUAUUCUGGAACCUUGUACUCCAAACCCAGCAUUCUAGAACCAGGAAUUUUAGAACCCAGCACUCCUGGUAAUCAUGGCAGAACCCAGCAUUCCAGAACUUUCAAGAUGAAGCAUUCUAGAACAAAAAAAAUUUAGAGCAAAUCAUUGGACAACACAGCACUCUUGAAUCUUUUGCCACUGUUGCCAUAUAAGAUAGUAAUCGUAAUAGGACUGUGUGUAUUUUUGGACCUAUCUAACCUGCAAAAUUCGAGAACCAGGACACAAAAAACAGCGUUACAGUCAUUUUUUCAUUUGGAAGAGACACACUGAUUGAUUAUGUUACAUUCAGAGCUGUUCUCAUGUCCAUCUCAUUUUACUCUUAUGUGACAAGCCAUUCAGAGCAAUUUUUUAAUUUUAAUUUCUCCAGCUCACCUUUACCUGUGUCUGAAUUUAUCUGAACAGUGUUAUUUAUCUGAAUUUAACAGCGUUAAACAUUACAGAAAGCCUUGCUGUAUCGGUCUUAUUUUGUGGCAUUACAGGAACACUGUGUUUAAGACUUAGUGAUAUCUAGUGGUGAAGGUGCAGAUUGCAGGACAUGAAUGAGCUGCUACCCUCACUCUUGUCUUGCAGGUGCACAGAAAGUCCCUGAGUGCAGUGUGAUCUUAAUUCCUGCAGAAACAUACUCUGCUCAUGGUGUAGUCAUGGGUUUGUAAAAUAAGGGAGUGAAUGAAUAACUAAAUGAAUGAAUGAAUUGUUAUUUUCAGGUGCAAAAAAACUCACACAUGGUUUCUUUUCCACUUUAACUGGGAAAUCAGUUUUUCAUGUUUCAUUUGAUGUUAUUUCAAUAAAUUACUGAUGAUAAUACAUAGAAAAAUACAAAAGUAUCAAACUAUGACACACAUAAGUAUGAGUCUUCAUGCACAAAUACAGAAAUUAGAACAAUACAAUAAAUAUGAAAAAAAUUGCACGUGCAGCAAAUACCAAAUUUUUCCUGAUUUGUCUGAGUGUACUUCCUUGGGUGAGUUUUCUAUCACGUUGUUAAUUUUUUUACUGGUCCACAUUCAAAAGGAGACAACGGGAGGUUUUAACAGCUCUGCUACAUGUGUUCAUCUUGUAUAAUCUUCGCUCUGAUUGGUCAAAGUGGCUCUGACUCAUAAAUCAGCUCUGAGUGGUUUUAUUGACCUGCAGCUAUCAGCUGAUUUACAUGUUGAUUCCUGUGACCAGCCGAUACUGAAUCAGGAGGGAGCAUCUGGAAACAAAGAGGAGGAAGAGGAGGGGGAGGAGGGUCUGGUUAGGGGCUACAGAGGCCUUAGAGGGACAGUUCACCCAUAAAAGAGAGGACGAGGAGGAAGAAUCAGAAUGCAAACAAUCCGUCUGGACAGCAGUAGAUUUAUCAUCUCAUAAUGAUGGUGGUUGAUGAAGACAGAUGAUUUGCAUCAGCCCAAAUGUUCCUUUUAAGAGAAGCGUACUGCAAAUGCAGAAACAACUUCACUUUAAAAUAUAUGCAGCGGUCCAAAAACAGUCACUCUGAGCCCCUGCAGGCCUGAAGCAUCUCUGUUCAAAAAAAGUUUCUAUCUUUAUUUGCAGCUAAUUGUUGUUUCUGUAUUUUUUUCUUUGUAUCGUGUGUAUUUGAAAAGCAUUCACUGUUCAUUCAGCCGUGUUGUUUGCAGCACGUUUCACCUGAUGAAAAUCGCUGCAAGGUUUGUCCUUAUUAGUCAUCAUACAAAACUGAGACUAUAAUGUAAAGAAGGGAAACUUAAUAGUUACUUGGUGGUUAUGAAAAAUUGAAUCCUAACAGGGUGAGACAAAACACAAGAAAAAGACUCAAGCGUCCACCACCCUCAAGUUGUAAGAGCGUAGACUUUCAAAGCCCCAUGAGGCCGUAACGUCAGUAAUUUGAUUACUUCUCAUUACUGUAAUUGUGGCUCAUCGUGUAUUUUUUUCCCUUAGCUUUGCAUCAGCCAGUACAUAAUUAUUUGCUGUAUUUAUGAACCAUUCCCCCUCAUUGCAAAUAAAGUGGGCCAAUCAUUCAAAAGAGGCGGGUUCUAUAAGAUAGGGUGACCAUAUUUUGACCCUCCAAAAAGAGGACAGGACUACACCAGGGCGGAGUCACAGAGUCGCACUAAGUUAAUUCUGAGUUUUUCGGAUCAAGUGUCUUUUACGCACUUCUAACUCAGUAAGUCCACGUGACACAAAAUCAAAACUUACGUACAAAACCGCGGACAUUUGAAGGAUCUUAUAAACUUCCCCGGACAAAGCCAGACAAGGCCGGACAGCCCUCAAAAAAGAGGAUAUGUGCGGGUAAAAAAGAAUGUAUGGUCACCCUAUAUAAGAUGAUGAAGGAGCAAUGCUUCAACAUGUUUUUAAAACCAAGAUGGCUUCAUUAAAUCCAAGUCUGCAGCUGUUUCAAAUCAAAUAGAUGAUUCAUUGAUGGGUAAGAAGUGUUUUUCUUUCUCUGCAUGCCUCGGUCUGUUUACGUUGCUUGUCCUUUGCAUUACAUCAUGCACUGCAACACUCUGAUUGGUUGAGAGUCUGACAAGUAACUUCCUGAAUAUUUCUGCUUGCAGAUGUUGCAGUUCAGCAGCCUAAACUAUACCAACACUGUGAAUAAAUGAGAAAAAAAAGACAUUCAGGCAAGAGUACAGGAGUUGAGUUUGGCCCACGGUUCACCCAGAGUGGCGCUAAUUCCCCCUGCUGGUCACAUGUUGUAUUACACUGAGGAGUCUUUGCAACACAGAGAAGCUUUAAAGAAGUUUAGAAAUAUGAUCAUUACAGACUCGAAAACUGGAGAAUAGUUCUUUUCUGGGUGCUUUCUGUAUUCUAUAAUCAAAAUGACAAUAUAUGUAUGAUUUAUGAUAAAGUCCAGACAGUGUUUGAUUCGAAUGGAACUUAAAUCACAAGAAAAACUGCACACAUGCGUCAGACUUUUUUUUUUUUUUUAAAUGGUCUCUCUUUGUAAUGUCUCAGCUGAUCUUUGUCGGGAUGAUAUGAUUUAAAAUAUCUCCUUGAGGGGACAAAAAGGAAAUAUCUGUCCUCAUAAAAGGUUUGAAAUGAGACAUUUGUUCCCUGAUAAUAAUUCAGACCGUUCAAUGUCCUGUUGAGCCGACAAGGACAGAGCAGACAAGGUGAAUUAUUGAUGAAACAAGAUCUGUGGUUUCCUUUAAGAUCGGUUCAAAGAGACGCUCCUCCUACCCCGGAGUCAAACGUCUGUCCACCGGUUCAGCCUGAAUAUGAAUGAAGGCGUUUAAAAUAUCAUUUCACCUCUGGGCAAAAACAUCCAGAGAGAGGGGUUAGAAAAAGAGGGAGAGAGAAGGAGAGAGGGGGUGAAGAAACAGAGGGGAUUUCCUCCGGGCGUCCAGCCAGCCUGCAGCCGCCUCAGAGUUCAUCUCCAUCAUUAAAACUCCAUUUUAGAGACUCAGGACUCAGUUUAACAGCAGCUGGCCUCAUAUAUCACUGCACACGCACGCACACACACACACACACACGCACACACAGACACACACAGUAUCUCCACACGGAAAACAUCCUUCACUUUCAGGAAGUUGGAGGGAAUUUCAGAUUAAAAGCUUUUCUUGUGAGUCAGAAUACAAAAGCAGACUGAAGAAGUCCUGGACCUGUGACCGAGUUUGGACCGAGUCACGCCCUUUGACCUCCAUCCAGACCUGGAUACAAAUAAACCGAAUCUCAACUUGAACAUGGACCUGGACAUGGUCAUUUUGGCUACAACUUGACAUAGUCACACAUAUCGACUGUAUAAAGAAGUCUGAGAACAGCACCCUCUGGUGACGGGCUGCAGUAUAGGUCAUAACUCCCGCAAAGCUUAUAGGGCUGUGGACAAACUUUAGAAACUUAGCGCACAGAAUAUAAUUUUUGCUCCUCUCCGCUCACGAUUUUCUGUACAGCUCCGUUUUUAAAAUGUAUUAUUCAUGUUUUCUAUGAUUGACACUUGAUACAGCCUAUGGGCAGAAAAUGGUUUGUUUGGGACAUAGUCUGGGACAAGUACAUGACCUGGACAUGGUCCUGUGUAAAAAAACCCUGAUUUAUAUUUUAGCCCAGAUAUGGACCUUGAUCUAAAAUGGACAAGAUCCAAGAUGGACACAAUGUGAAGGUGAAACAAAGGUCUAGAUAACAUCAGGAGCAGACCGUCCUCUAAAUCUCAGUGCUUUGAGGUGUUAUUUGGAUAACAAUAAACAUUAAAUCACAAAAAGAGGGCAAAAGAUGCUCUCUAUAAAAAAAUAAAAAUACUUAAUUAUCACAGUCUGGUUAUUUUCUGUAACUUUUUACAUAUGACUGUACUUGAUCUUGAUCAGGAGUCAAACAGACCUGGUAAAACAGCCUGUCUGUUGUCUUUCAAUGAUGCUGCCAUUUCAAAUCCCAGCAGAUGGCGCUGUUUUGACCCAUAGUGCUGAACAAAAACGUCAAUAUUAAAACUUUUAUUUUGUCUGUUUAUAGGACAGAAAAGUGGCUGAAAUUAGUUUUUGGAAAUAAUAAUAAUUCAUAUAUUAUAUCAAGAACAUUCAGGAGUUUGUUGGACAGGUGCCAGUUCACGUCUGUCAGUUGACACUGCCCUCUAGUGGCAGGUGAAUAAGGUUUCCCUCUCAUUUGAACUGACAUGUAAACCUUAAUAAUAGGUUCACUAGGAUCAUGUGACUCAAAGGUCAGAGUUGAACCAGGAAAUAUUCACGGACACAAAGCAUCAACGGUUUUGUCUUUCUGGUCGUGUGAGCCGUGGAGAUCGAUCAAGAAGUGGUCGUAAGUUUUAAACUUUCUUUUAUUUAAAAAAAAAAAACCUUUUCCUGCAUUUUAAAAGAUAUUGAACACUUUAUUAGACAUGGACCUCCUAUCCCCCAACCCC